rnacentral:lncRNA from 1 species
AUGGGGUGCUUUUGGAGUACAAGGGAAUCCCAAAGCCAUUCCUUCCCUUCUGCUACACGUCAUUUACUCGUUAUUUGUAGAGUUUUCCCCUGUAAAAAGGAAGUUCACAUUUCCCUUUUGAAAAUGCACUUACUCAGUAAGAUGGAGUCAGGUUACUUUUUUUUAAUUUUUUGCUCUUACCACAAUGUCACUGCACAAUAGAACAGGAAAGGGAAGUGUAACACCUUAUUUUGCAAUGCUGAGAACAUGAGGAGGUGUGCAACUGUGUAUUAUUCUCUGCAUCAUCUGUAUGCAACUUUUUUUUUUUUGUUUACAACUGCUUUUUGUUGCUGUUCAAGCAAAGAAGGAAAUUGGAAAAGAGAACUAAGACAUCAAAAUGCACCAAAAAUUAGUUUCACGUGGAAGAAAGGGAUAUAAAAGUGGCCUAGACAAAAUUAAGGAGAAUUUCUGAACUAGAAACAAGGGUGUCAAGCUCAUGUUGUUGAAGACAAGCAUGUAAGAGCUCAGACAUGUUUCUUCAUUCGCAGUGAAUUAAAGUGAAACUGAGACUGCUGAGAACACGAACUCUUUAAUUUGGUAUGCAUUUCCUUAGCUGUAAGUUGUUACAAGUGCUAUCCCAAGUGGAUUGUGGCUGUUACCAGGCAGCAGAGACCAAAAUUGUAGAUGCAAACAAAAAUUCCUCUGGCCUCAUGACAUGGGAAGGGGGAUCUGCCCAUCAGGCCGAGCUUUGCUUUGACUGGUAAUUCUUGCCUAAACUAAUUGGUGCGUGGCACUGUUUUAGCCUUGUGUGAUAAGCAAGAAAACGUUGUGCUAGUAAAUCUUACAGCUAAAUCUUUUUGGAUGAGGCGUCGGUGGGGCCUGUGAGGGCUGGAAGUGUUUUUUAAACCACUCUGCUCUUGAUAUGAGGUCCUCGGGCUCCUUACAGCCAUUAGGGUCGGAGGAGACCUCCGAGAUCCCCUGCUCCACCACCACUAUCACCCACUGACCGUGUCCCCAAGCACCACGUCCAGCCUCUCCUUCAACACCCCUGUGCCACCUCAGGGAUGCCACCUCCCUCUACCUUCCUUCCAGAGGAAUAAAAACAAAAACAAAACAACAAAAAAACAAACACCAGGCGCUAUGGCCGCAGCCCGGGGGCGGUGCUGCUGAGGCAGGUGCCUCCCUCCGCGGCCACGGCGGGGCCGCUGCCACGUCAGGGGAGUUUCCCGGGGCCGGGCUCUGCCUUCCUCCUCCUCCUCCUCCUCCUCCCGUCCCUCCUUCUCCUCCUCCUCCUCCUCCUCCUCGUCGCUCGUCCCCCGCUGCCGGCGCCGCGCUGCCCGCCGCCAUGGAGGGCCGCUACAACCUCAAGAACCCCGCCAGAUUCUGCUGUAAAGCUGUGACACGAGCCGAAGUUCGUCAGUGAUGAUAACGUGGCUGCGUGGGCACCUCUUCUGCGAGAUUCCGCAAUGGAUUAGUCAAUGUAUACGGCCUGCUACCGUAUGGCCGAUAAACCUCUCCCAGCAGUAUUAAAGCUCGGCUGACCACAGCACAGACUUCAUGCUCGCCAUGCUUCAGGAACAGCCCUGUUGCUGAAAUUUAUAAGACACCUACUUGGAAUAAGCGCUUGGCUUUUUUCAAACGCUGUGACCCUCAGGCUGCCACGAGGCAGACCCCAAAUCUUGUAGUCAUGCUUUUGUAGCAACAGGAUUCCUCGGCCUCCUCUUUCACGUGGGAUGUUACCAGGCGUCUUAGCAGGUAUUAGCACUGAGGUGUGUGAGGAAUUAUGAACAGCUACUCACAUAGAGCCUACAAAGAACAGAGAUAUUUUGUUUUCAGUGUGUUUUUAUUUGUUUUUAGCAGACUUCUUUAUCUCAAGGCUGCCUGGUGGGGCUGCGGAGAGCAAAUGGAGCGUACGUACGUCCUGCGUUUGCCCAGGGACAGUGCCUGUGCAUCCCGGGCAUGCAGGGAACACAGCGUGCCUAGAUUGUGAUCCUCUUAGCCAUCAUCUGUAUUAUGCUUGCUGCAGGGUAAAUAAAUGCUUUUCCUAUGAACUGUACUUUUCUCUC